ACAAAAGAAAUGACAAAAAUGAUGUCUGAAAGCAAUAACAUCAUCAUGCUUCAGGUUGUAACUGAGCAGGAAAGAUAGCACCAAAGCCAAACACAAGAAACCACUAAUUUUAAGCAGCCACACCAUAAACACUAAUAUUUAACCAGAAGCAGCAUUGAGCAGCCCUCACUCCAUAUUUUUUAACCACAACAAAAUUAGAUUAAAGCAGCCAUUAUAAUCUAAAUUAUUUUUAACAGAAGCAAAAUUAAGCAACCAUUAAAUCAAAUUUUUAUUUAUAAGCUCUCCACCAAAUUCCCACCACUGAUUUGAAUGAACAGCAACUCAAACGAAAAAAGGACAAAAAUUUUGUUCUCUCAUGAACUCAUGGGUCACCGACUAAAAACAGAGAAGAACAAAGUCACGAGAUCAAGACUAAAAAGAUCUGUAAAAUGAGAGAUCUCAAACAAGUGCGAAUCUGAAGCAAGAUUUGAACAUUCUGG